rnacentral:rRNA from 1 species
UACGUAGGGGGCUAGCGUUGUCCGGAAUCAUUGGGCGUAAAGCGCGUGUAGGCGGCAAGGCAAGUCGGAUGUGAAAGCCCACGGCUCAACCGUGGAAGUGCACCCGAAACUGCCUAGCUAGAGUCUCGGAGAGGAAGGUGGAAUGCUUGGUGUAGAGGUGAAAUUCGUAGAUAUCAAGCGGAACACCGGUGGCGAAGGCGGCCUUCUGGACGAUGACUGACGCUGAGACGCGAAAGCGUGGGGAGCAAACAGG